rnacentral:lncRNA from 14 species
GGCACUACUCCCAAAUGGCCUGCAAAGAAGACGCAUGCUAAAUGGCCAAGCACAAUAAGCUAGAAAAGUCAAUAAAAGCAGCAAACACAUUGGGACGGGCUACUGAGGAUGCAGUCAACCAGAUUACAGGUGCAAGCCAGAAAGCUAUUGACAAGGCUUCCAAGGUGGCACAAGAUGGGGUAGAAAAAGCAACCGGACACGCUGCAGAAGCACUAUCUGGCCUUGGGAAAAAAUGUGGAUUUGAGAAAUGAUGCUCAUUUAAGCAAAUAGUAUUGCAUAUAAAAAUAUCUCUUUGGUCUACAGUUCCCUGCUCCUUUGUGUUUGGUGUCUGGAUAAUUUCUCUUUUUGAAUACAACAUUUUAAGGCAGAAGGCCCCCCUCAUCUCUUAUAUAGGAAAAAUACAUCUUUUAGCACAUCUGCUAACAAUCUUCAACAUUGCUCGUAAGGCUUCAGCAACACUGUUGCCCUUCUCUUACGACAGCACAAUUAUUAUUGCCACAUUUGCUGAGUGUAUUUACACAUCCAAUGAAAUUGUUCAUACUCCAGGACACCAGAACAUUUGUAUGAUGAAACUGAGUUUCCUUCCAAUAACCAGAAGUUAAGCUGGGGCUAUAUUUCUUUUCAGCUUUUUGUUUAUUCCCAUCUGCUGUGUUUUCAGAUUAAGAUAAAUAAAAGGUGGUGUAUCCAGCA